AAUAACCUUAUUUUUCGUUUUUCCGUGUCCAACGUUUGACUAUUCGUCUUAUUUAAAAAAAUUAUGAAAAAAUCUAAAAAAAUUAGUCAAGUAUAAAAUAUUAUUCAUAUUUUAUCAUCUAGUAAUAAUAAAAACAUUAAUCACAAAAAAAAUUUAAAUAAAACGAAUGGUCAAACGUUGAACAUGGAAAA
rnacentral:pre_miRNA from 1 species